rnacentral:rRNA from 1 species
UAGGGAAUCUUCGGCAAUGGACGAAAGCCUGACCGAGCAACGCCGCGUGAGUGAAGAAGGUUUUCGGAUCGUAAAACUCUUUUGUUAGAGAAGAACAAGGACGUUAGUAACUGAACGUCCCCUGACGGUAUCUAACCAGAAAGCCACGGCUAACUACGUGCCAGCAGCCGCGGUAAUACGUAGGUGGCAAGCGUUGUCCGGAUUUAUUGGGCGUAAAGCGAGCGCAGGCGGUUUCUUAAGUCUGAUGUGAAAGCCCCCGGCUCAACCGGGGAGGGUCAUUGGAAACUGGGAGACUUGAGUGCAGAAGAGGAGAGUGGAAUUCCAUGUGUAGCGGUGAAAUGCGUAGAUAUAUGGAGGAACACCAGUGGCGAAGGCGGCUCUCUGGUCUGUAACUGACGCUGAGGCUCGAAAGCGUGGGGAGCAAACAGG